GGGUCCGACCUGGUUUCGACGGGGGUCGCGAAGCGGAGCAGGGCAUACCGAGGACCAGUCCCCUCGUAAAUCUACUGGAAAUCAAUAAACGCCAACGACGAGCGUUUCGCUCUGGCCGCUUAAGGCCGGACCGUACACCAGCCAGUUUCCGGGCUGGGCCGGGUAAAACCGGCAGUACGGUAAUCUCAGGAAAAUCGCAAUGCGCCGGGCCACUUGGCGCAACGCUAAAUCCAAGGUGGAUCGCCUGAGCGCAGCCUGUUCGGCCGGCGUCGCAAGGGUUAAAACCAAAUGACCGGACUAAGUAUGUAGAACUGCCUGUAGAGGACUUUCGGACGCGGGUUCGAUUCCCGCCGGAUCCACCA
rnacentral:tmRNA from 1 species